rnacentral:lncRNA from 1 species
UGUCCCGGAGUCUUCAUGUUCCUAAGGAACUCAAAAGAACAAAGUUCUUGUCCUAUCACAAGCUGGGAGAUACAUGCACAAGCAGGAGUCAUAAAAUCCACAGAGCAGAUAUUGAUGACGUCAGGAUGUUACAUCCUUGGGAUUGGUGGAUUUUUCUCCGGUGACGUUGCCAAACCCACAAUAUCAUAAAGAUUCCUAGGAUAUAUUGAUCAAGAAAUGUCUAUUUAUGGGAUUGAAGAUGCGUGACUUGAUGUGCGGUGUGUAGGUCCGUGCCCGAGAUCUGAACCCACAAACCCUGGGCCACUGAAGUGGAGUGUGUGAACUCAACCGCUAUGCAACCAGAGCAGC